UGGAUCGAUGAUGACGGCGGGUGGCGUAGGAGUCGGACAUGAUGAAUGCGUGUCUGGAACUCUGAGGUCCAG
rnacentral:snoRNA from 1 species